rnacentral:rRNA from 1 species
GACGAACCGUGCGAACGUUGUUCGGAAUCACUGGGCUUAAAGGGCGCGUAGGCGGGCUACCAAGUCCGGGGUGAAAUCCUCCAGCUCAACUGGAGAACGGCCUCGGAUACUGAUGGUCUCGAGGAGGAUAGGGGCACACGGAACUGUGGGUGGAGCGGUGAAAUGCGUUGAUAUCCAUAGGAACUCCGGUGGCGAAAGCGGUGUGCUGGAUCCUUUCUGACGCUGAUGCGCGAAAGCCAGGGGAGCAAACGGG